rnacentral:rRNA from 1 species
UACGUAGGGUGCGAGCGUUAAUCGGAAUUACUGGGCGUAAAGCGUGCGCAGGCGGUUCGUUGUGUCGGCGGUGAAAGCCCCGGGCUUAACCUGGGAAUGGCCGUUGAAACUGGCGAACUGGAGUGUGGCAGAGGGGGGUGGAAUUCCGCGUGUAGCAGUGAAAUGCGUAGAGAUCCGGAAGAACACCGGUGGCGAAGGCGGGUCUCUGGGCAGUAACUGACGCUGAGGAGCGAAAGCGUGGGGGAGCGAACAGG